UGUGUUUGUCAAACAAAAUCUAAUGAUCUCAAACCGAUUCUAGCUAAUUGUUUGACAAACGUGUUUGAUUUUAUCGUCUGCGCUGCUGUUUGAUGAAAACGUAAAUUACAUCAAACAUGUUUGUCAAAUAAAAAACUUGUUUGUGACGUAAU